AAAUAGCAAAACCCAAAACAACAGCAGAUGAUAUCUUCCAAGUGUCUGCUCGGGACACGGCUUCAGCCCUCUGUGGUCCCCUCUCCCCGGGGGCUUUGGGAUUCUUGUCAAGCUCCUUCGAGAGCCUGCAAGCACUUAACCAGCCACCCAGAGUUCCCUCACUGAAGAUCUGAGCAUGACCCGGGACGAGGCACUGCCGGACUCUCAUUCUGCACAGGACUUCUAUGAGAAUUAUGAGCCCAAAGAGAUCCUGGGCAGGGGCGUUAGCAGUGUGGUCAGGCGAUGCAUCCACAAGCCCACGAGCCAGGAGUACGCCGUGAAGGUCAUCGAUGUCACCGGUGGAGGCAGCUUCAGCCCGGAGGAGGUGCGGGAGCUGCGAGAAGCCACGCUGAAGGAGGUGGACAUCCUGCGCAAGGUCUCGGGGCACCCCAACAUCAUACAGCUGAAGGACACUUAUGAGACCAACACUUUCUUCUUCUUGGUGUUUGACCUGUAAGUACCCAGCACUGGAGCAAGCCACACCUGAGAGAACCUCCGACUGUUGUCCCCUCCCCAACCCCAGGGCUGCCUGGAGACCACAGCCAGCU
rnacentral:sRNA from 1 species